rnacentral:tRNA from 1 species
GCCACUGUGGCUCAGUGGUCAGAGUAUCGGCCCAUGACCCAAAGGGCCGUGGGUUCGAGUCCCGGUCAAGGGCA